rnacentral:rRNA from 1 species
UGUGAGCACGUGGCGGCAGCCGGGGGAAUAGGGAGGUGUGGGGCGUGCAUCGUAGUGACGUGGCGUUAGGCGUGCUCUGGCGGGUAUGUAAGGCAUGGGUUGAAUCCCCGUGCUCAACCUGGGAACUGCAUUUGUGACUGCAUGGCUAGAGUACGGUAGAGGGGGAUGGAAUUCCGCGUGUAGCAGUGAAAUGCGUAGGUAUGCGGAGGAACACCGAUGGCGAAUGCAAUCCCCUGGACCUGUACUGCCGCUCAUGCACGAAAGCGUGGGGAGCAAACAGGAUUAGAUACCCUAGUAGUC